UACGUAGGCAGCAAGCGUUGUUCGGAAUUACUGGGCGUAAAGAGUGUGUAGGCGGUGUUCUAAGUCUGUUGUGAAAUCUCCCGGCUUAACUGGGAGGGUGCGGUGGAAACUGUCAAGCUUGAGUCCGGAAGAGGCGAGUGGAAUUCCUGGUGUAGCGGUGAAAUGCGCAGAUAUCAGGAGGAACACCAGUGGCGAAGGCGGCUCUGGGCGUAACUGACGCUGAGACGAACGACGUGGGGAGCGAACAGG
rnacentral:rRNA from 1 species